UGCGCAGGUGGGCUUGUAAGUAAGUGGUGAAAUACUGCCGCUUAACGGUAGAACUGCCAUUGAUACUGCGAGUCUUGAGUAUGGUUGAGGUAGGCGGAAUGUGUUGUGUAGCGGUGAAAUGCAUAGAUAUGACACAGAACGCCGAUUGCGAAGGCAGCUUACUAAGCCAUUACUGACGCUGAGGCACGAAAGCGUGGGGAGCGAACAGGAUUAGAUACCCUGGUAGUCC
rnacentral:rRNA from 1 species